ACGGAGGUGGCGAGCGUUGUUCGGAAUCAUUGGGUGUAAAGGGUAUGUAGGUGUCCUGAUGUGUCUUUUUUGAAAUACUAUGGCUCAACCAUAGAACUGGAAAAGAAACUAUCAGGAUUGAGUAUUGGAGAGGAAAGCGGAAUUCCCGGUGUAAGGGUGAAAUCUGUAGAUAUCGGGAGGAACACCAGUGGCGAAAGCGGCUUUCUGGCCAAAUACUGACACUGAAAUACGAAAGCUAGGGGAGCAAACAG
rnacentral:rRNA from 1 species